AAAACCGCUCUUCAGAAACCAACGGGUGACGUCACGUCUCACCAUCAAGGGAGAGAAGAUGGAGGUGUUGGAGUCUUUCAGAUACAUUGGCAUCACACUGGGCAACAACAUCAGCUUCCAUCAGCAUAUCAAGGAUAUUUACAUGUGUUGUCAGCAGAAACUCACAACCAUCUGUAAACUAAACCACCUGUCUGUCCGACUCCAUCUUCUUCUUCUUCUCCUGUACUGUACUGGAGCAUUAUUGAGCCAGUUCUUCUGGAUGGUGCCAUCUGUUUAUUUCCACAUGCUUACAGUCACCCAUAAGAAUAAACUCUUAAAGAUUUAACCAGCAAACUCGUCGGUAUUCUCACCCCCGUCUUAUCCGAGUGAGUCACCUCAUCCCUGAUCCGCAAAGCACUCACAAUCACACCUGACCCCGGACCACCCACUCUCCCAGCACUUUACCCCCCCUUCCUUCUAGCUGUAGGUAUAAACUACCCAGCAAGAGCUUUGUUCCUACAGAAAUACGAGCUUUAAAUAAGUAAAACCUCCUCUUAAGUUACAAGAAAUCCAGUCUGUGGUGUGUAAAGCGUCAAUCCACGUCUUUGUCUCUGUUGUGUGACCUUUGUAAUUAAGUGUCGCUGUAAAUCCUGUGUUUUGUAUAACUGUAAAACUCUUCAAAUUUAAGAGUCGAAUAAUCUUUUCUACAUAUCUUUCCUCACAUUGGACUGUAUUGGUGUGUGUAGUUCAAAUACUUCACAUCAACAGACACAGUAUCUGUUUACAAUCUCAUUUUUUCUCCUUUUAUAUACUAUAAAUAUGAACAUCUGAUCUUUGUAACUGCAUUAACAAUGAGAGUAAAUAAAAAGGGUUACCCCCCUGGUGGACACUGGAUGAAUUACACCUGUCUUUGUUUCCACUGAUUAGAGAUAAACCAGUAUCACCUGAGACUGACCCACUUAGACACCAGGAAGUAGUUCCUCUCACUCAUAUUGUUUUGGACCCAAACACAGUUUUUGACCACUCUCAACCUGAUAAACUGGGGAAAUCUUACUUUUAAAUGGCAGAUAGUUUACUGCACGUCAGAGAGACGACUGAGAGGGGAAACUUGAGUUUCGGAUACCUGGAUACGUCGUUAUCUGAAGGAUUUUGGAGCCAUUAUUUGAUUCUUCUAUGAUCCACCUGUUGGAAGGAAUCAGGGAAAUCAUCCAAGAGACUCUCACACAAAGGAUUAUAUCGACAAACCGCGUCUUUGUGUUCCCCCCGAAAAAACUAAAGAAUCCUUCCUGAAGUUCAGUCCAAGAGAGAAAAAACACAGCUGGAUGGAAACAAAUCUCACAAAGCCGACGACUGUAAAGGACGACAGUAACAAAGGUGAGACAACUUUCUUCCUUUAAAUUUGUGACCAGAACAACAGAUUCUGGUGUCAGUUUGGGUCUGAAAACUAAACAAAAACACUAAAUCAGAUAUUAAAGACUCAAUAAAAGUUAAAAUCUGACUCUGAAACAUCACGUUAACACUUGUAGCCACGAUUUGUGUGACCUGUCAUGAAGAAAAGUAGCUGCAGAUGCGAAAUUUGCAGUUUUAACAGUAAAGUGACGGAAGCAACUAACAAUACAAACUUGACAAACAUGUCUGUCUGUUACUGGAAAUAAUGAAAACAACAACAAAGCAAAGCUAACAGAACGUCAUUGGUGGAUUCGGUUCAACUUCCUGUAACAUGUUGAAUUUCUGCAACAGGUUUUUUCCACAACUUGUACAAGAAAGAAACACGUAUGAAAGAACAAAAAUCCAAAUCUGAAUAAAACACGCUUCGCUAGUUUCUCGGCUGAAUUCGGAGGUCGACCCUGAAACGGGAAACGUCUUUGUGCUGCGUCUGUUCCGUCCAGCUGUGCUGAUGUUGCCUCUUGGAUUUCUUCUUCACUGCUUUUAAACCGGGAUCAUAAGAGGGACCGAACACUUUCAGCUGGCAGUUUAACUUCAACUUGAUAAAUCAAAUUUAGGUUGUUCUCACCAUUAAACACUGCUGGUCGUCCUUGAACUUAAGCUGCUCUUUUAAAAUAUGAUCCAAUAGUUUGUAUCAGCAGUUAAAUUUCUUGUGUAACAUCACGUUUACUUUGUUUUUUUUUACCUUUUAGGAACUUGCAAGUCAUCUCCACUGGAGGACAAAUGACAACAACAUGGAGGUCACAGUGAGCAUCAUGUUUCUAACAAUCAUUUUUUUAUGCACUCUAGCACAUAAUAGACCUAAAUGGAAAUGCCAUAAUUUGAACUCUGAAAUAGCCGAUUUUGAUUCUCUAAAUACCAAAAAAAAGCCAGAAAGCAGCAAAGAAACGUCACAACUGCUUCUCUUUUAAUCUUUUAAUCUUGUUUUGCUCUCUUAACUCUCCUGUUGUCUUCCCGUCGACCCGGGUCAAUUUUGACCCGGGAGGACAAAAGUUGCAAAAGUUCACAGAUGCUGUAAAUUUUAAUUAAAACACUUAAAAUUCAAUGAAAGUAGUGAUCAUUACUUUUACAUGCAAAGUGUGUGGUACG